GAAUCACUUGAGCCUGGCAGGCAGAGGUUGCAGUGAGCCGAGAUUGUGCCACUGUGCUCCAGCCUGGGUGAUAGAGUGAGACCCUGUCUCAAAACAAACAAACAAAGCAAACAAAAACACACACACAAAAAAACCCACCUCUGAUGUGACCCAUGGAUAGAAAACAACAAAUUAAGUUUUAAUGAGACUAUAUAUGCUUGUACUUUAAAAUGGGGCUAAUUCAUAGAUAUAGAAAACUAUACUUAUGACAGUUCAUAUAAAUGAGCCACUGGACUGUCCAAAUUUACCUCUUUUUAUUGUAUGGACCUAGUGAGUGCAGUGGUGCGAUCUUGGCUCACUGCAACCUCCGCCUCCCAUGUUCAAGUGAUUCUCCUGCCUCAGCCUCCCGAAUAGCUGGGAUAACAGGCACCAGCCACCGCAUCCGGCUAAUUUUUGUAUUUUUAGUAGAGAUGGGGUUUCGCCAUGUUGGCCAGGCUUGUCUCAAACUCCUGACCUCAAAUGAUCUGCCUGCCUCGGCCUCCCAAAGUGCUGGGAUUACAGGCAUGAGCCACCAUGCCCAGCUAGGAGAAGUAUAUCCUUUUUUUGUUGUUUGUUUUGUUUUUUUGAGACAGAGUUUCCCUUUUGUUGCCCAGACUGGAGUGCAAUGGCGCAAUCUCGGCUCACCGCAACCUCCGCCUCCUAUGUUCAAGCGAUUCUCCUGCCUCAGCCUCCCGAGUAGCUAGAAUUACAGGCAUACGCCACCACCUCUGGCUAAUUUUGUAUUUUUUAGUAGAGACGGGGUUUCUCCAUGUUGGUCAGCCUAGUCUCAAACUCCCCAUCUCAGGUGAUCCGCCUGCCUCAGCCUCCCAAAGUGCUGGGAUUUACAGACAUGAGCCACCAUGCGCGGCCUAGGAGAAGUAUAUUCUAAUUAACAGAGUCACUUAGGAAGAGCUGUAAAAAAUAAAGAUUCUCCCACACAUUCUGAUUCAAUGGGAAUGAAUCGAGAUCCAAAUAUGUGUAUGUGUGUGUGUGUGUUUUUUGUUGUUGUUGUUGUUUUGAGACGGAGUCUCGCUCUGUCGCCCAGGCUGGAGUGCAGUGGCGCCAUCUCGGCUGACUGCAAGCUCCGCCUCCCGGGUUCACACCAUUCUCCUGCCUCAGCCUCCCGAGUAGCUGGGACUACAGGCACCGCCACCACGCCCGGCUAAUUUUUUUUGCAUUUUUAGUAAAGACGGAGUUUCGCCGUGUUAGCCAGGAUGGUCUCGAUCUCCUGACCUUGCAAUCCGCCCGCCUCGCCUUCCCAAAGUGCUGGGAUUACAGGCAUGAGCCACCGCGCCCGGCCGUUUGUUUGUUUUUAACUCUCCAGUUGAUUUCGGAGAAUGCUAAAAGAUUUAGGCUACCUUUCUAAGCAUGAUUUAGGAAAAUCUCAUCCAUUUUCAAUAUUUGGAUCCAAUGGAUUAGGAGGUAUUAUAAACAUUAGAAGAGUUUCAAAGACUGAUUCUAAGGCAUCCCUCCAGCAAUAGCAAACUAGGGUACAGGUUCAGGGAGAAAGUAUACAGCAGAAGAGGGAACACUUAGUAAUAAACAAGUGCUGAUGUCCUGAACAGACUCAGACUAAAUUUGAACUUCUCUAUUAUUUUAGCCUUGGAAAUAGUAGGUUAUAGAUGAUUUAGUUUCUCUCCAUUACACAGAACAGUACCUUGACGAAUCAGCCAGGACUAUAAGAAAAUAUUUGGACUUACAUGAUUGAGACAAUUACUAUGUAAGAUGACACACUUGAAACUCAUAUUUCUUGGCUUGCGAACACAUGCAUCAUGUAAAGCAUGAUGUCUUAAGACCCUGAUCUGAGUUUGAGAGGAGUGGGAGAGAAAUAUCAGGAAAAAGCAAACUAAAUGUCAAGGCAAGGUUAUUUUUAAAAGGACCAACCAGAGGACUACAUUUGUGACCCACCAAUUCAUUUUCUCCAUCAGUUCAUGGACCAUUGUUGUUGCCUCUAAUAAGAGGCAUGUGUUUUCUCCAUCAGUUCAUGGAACCAUUGUUGUUGACUCUAAAAAGAAGAGAAAAGUGCUCAAGUAUCUUCACAGGAAGGCCAUUUAGAUGGUGGGUCUUUGAGUCAUGGAUCUCUCUUUAAAAAUUCUACCAAGAAACACAGACACCAAAUUUUGCAUGCAAUUUCAGGGACUUAUGGACCCCAGCUUGACUUGUCAGCCUCACAGGAAAACUAGUGGUGGGAUUUCAUUUCCAUUCUACCAAAUGAAUUUCAGUUGAUUAAAAAAUGACCAAUUGUUACACUCCAUAGAUCAGAAUCUAGCCUUUUAUACAUCUGUGAAUAUAAUCUUUUGCAGAGAUUAUUAGCCCUGUUGAAACUAAUUUUUUUUUUUUUUUUUUAGAUGGAGUCUCUGUCACCCAGGCUGGAAUGCAGUGGCUUAAUCUUGGCUCACUGCAAGCUCCACCUCCCGGGUUCACACCAUUCUCCUGCCUCAGCCUCCUGAGUAGCUAGGACUACAGGCGCCAGCCACCACGCCCAGCUAAUUUUUUUUUUUUUUUUGUACUUUUAGUAGAGACGGGGUUUUACCGUGUUAGCCAGGAUGGUCUCGAUCUCCUGAACUCGUGAUUCGCCCACCAUGGCCUCCCAAAGUGCUAGGACUACAGGCGUGAGCCACCAUACCCGGCCCUGAAACCAAUUUUAAAACACUGAAUCUCUAUCAAGCCCUCACAAUGUGCUUACCACGACUAAAUGUAUUUAUAUACAUCAUUUUAAUUCUUAAAGUCUGCAUAGAUGAAUGCACUAAAAUACUCAAGAGUAAGUAACUUUUCUAGAGUCACACAGUUUUUGAGUCACAAACUUCAAAGCCAGUAUCUAACCACCAUCUACUCCUUUGCUUUCCCACCCUAGAAGGAAAACUUUACUCUCCACCUACUAUGGUUACAAAUUUUGUAAGAUGUGUUUUCCCUGGUAGAAGAGGCUUCAAGUAACAAUCUACACCUAAUAAUAUCCAACAUUAAUUUUGAAAUUCUGACCAUUGAUCUUCAUGAAGUUCAAAAGGAAUUUACUUUUUCAGUUCUAAAAUUAACACGACCAAUUUAGUAAUUCAGAAGAUUAUUUUUGUCCAUUGUACUAGCUUAUGAUCUCCUUGAAAGCUGAAACUAUGAAUGCCUCACUUAUCCUGCUCACAUGUGGCACGCCUAGGCCUUAGGAAGAUGCCCAGUGUCAAAUACAGGAAUGUGUUUGCUCCUCUCAGUUCUCAAUGGCUUCCCAGAAGAUACCAUAGCUUCCCACAGAUGUAAACCAGGAGAAUCCUCUUGUAACAGCUUUAACAGGCCUGUUUCAUUUUAUUUCUACUGAGUAGCAUACAUCUAGCUCAUUUUAAAAUCCAGCUCUUGAUCUUUAGUUUUAAAAAUAUGUACCACUGGCUGGGCAUGGUGGCUCACGCCUGUAAUUCCAGCACUUUGGGAGGCAGAGGCAGGUGGAUCACCAGAGGUUGGGAAUUCGAAACCAGCCUAACCAACAUGGAGAAACCCCAUGUCUACUAAAAAUACAAAAUUAGCCAGAUGUGGUGGCGCAUGCCUGUAGUCCCAGCUAUUCAGGAGGCUGAGGCAGGAGAAUCGCUUGAACUCGGGAGGCGGAGGUUGCGGUGAGCUGAGAUUGUGCCAUUGCACUCCAACCUGGGCAACAAGAGUGAAACUCUGUCUCAAAAAAAAAAAAAAAAAAAAAAAAAAAAAAAAAAAUUGUGUAACACUGGCCAGGCGCGGUGGCUCACGCCUGUAAUCCCAGAGGCAGGUGGAUCACAUGAGGUCAGGAGUUCGAGACCAGCCUGGUCAACAUGGGGAAACCAGGUCUCUACUAAAAAUACAAAAAUUAGUGGGGCAUCAUGGUGCAUGCCUGUAAUCCCAGCUACUUGGGAGGCUGAGGCAGGAGAAUCGCUUGAACCCUGGAGGUGGAGGUUGCAGUGAGCCAAGAUCAUGCCAUUGCAUUCCAGCCUGGGCAACAGAGUGAGAUUCCUCUCAAAAAAAAAAAAAAAAAAAGAAAGAAAGAAAGAAAGAGAAAAAAAAAGUGUACUGCUGAAAAACUAACUUUAAAGUUUGAAAUGCUAUUAUUCAGUACCAGGUAUUAUGUUCAAACCAAUGUGGGGGCUUCCGUAUAAGGGGCUACACAUCAUUGGGCAGAUUUGAUUAGCUGUGACAAUUGUUUAGAGUCCUUAAAGAAGGCUUUAAGCACAGUCUAGGAGUGUACUAUGUGAUACGGUUUGGAUAUUUGUCGCCACCCAAAUCUUAUGUUGAAUUAUAAUCCCCAGUGCUAGAGGUGGGCCUGGUGGGAGGUGAAUUGAUCAUGGGGGCGAUUUCUUAUGGCUUAACACCACAUACUCUUGCUGUUGUCAUUGUGAUAAUGAGUUCUUGUGAGAUCUGGUCAUUUAUAAGUGUGUGGCACCUCAACCUUCUCUCUCUUCCUCCUGCUCCCUCUUUGCCUUCCACCAUGAGUAAAAGCUCCCUGAGGCCUCCCCAGAAGCAGAUGCUGCCAUGCUUCCUGUAGUCUGUGGAACUGUGAGCCAAUUAAACCUCUUUUCUUUAUAAAUUACUCAAUCUCAGGUAUUUCUUUACAGCAACACAAGAAUGGCAUAAUACACUACGUAAUAAUAGCCACAUAUGAGUAGUGAGCACUUGAAAUGUGGCUAGUCUUAAUUGAGAUAUGCUCUAAGAAAUUGAAGAUAGUACAUAUAGCACAUUUUAAAAUGUGGCUAUUAGAAAUUUUUAAAUUACAUGUUGGCCUACAUUAAAUUCUAUUGGAAGCCGGGCGCAGUGGCUCACGCCUGUAAUCCCAGCACUUUGGGAGGCCUAGGCAGGCGGAUCACUUGAGGUCAGGAGUUUGAGACCAGCCUGGCCAACAUGGAGAAACCUCGUCUCUACUAUAAAUACAAAAUUUGCCAGGUGUGGUGGCACAUGCUUGUAAUUCCAGCUACUUGGGAGGCUGAAGCAGGAGAAUUGCUUGAACCCGGGAGGCGGAGGUUGCGGUGAGCCGAGAUCAUGCCAUUGCACUACAGCCUGGGCAACAAAGGUGAAACUUCGACUCAAAAAAAAAAUAUAUAUAUAUAUAUAUAUAGGAAGGCACUGGUAGGGAAUUUAAAGCACGGCUGUUGGCCCAAGAACCAUUGGUAGACAGCAUUCUAAAGAAUUAAUUAAGGCCAGGUGUGGUGGCUCACCUCUGCAAUCCCAGCACUUUGGGAGGCCAAGGCGGACGGAUCUCCAGAGGUCCGGAGUUUGAGACCAGCCUGGCCAACAUAGUGAAACCUCGUCUCUACUAAAAAUAGAAAAAUUAGCUGGGCACGGUGGUCCAUGCCUGUAAUCCCAGCUACUCAGGAGGCUGAGUAGGCAGGAGAAUCACUUGAACCCAGGAGGUGGAGGUUGCAGUGACCUGAGAUCGUGCCACUACACUCCAGCCUGGAUGGCAGAGUGAGACUCUGUCUCUAAAUAAAUAAAUAAAAAUGAAGUAAUUAAGCAUUUUCUAUUUUUGGUAAAUUAUUGAUUUUAUAGAAUAUUUAAUGAUUUUCAAUACUUUAGGUUCUCAGUUUAUCAGUUUGUAGAUUAAAUAAGUAAUUUUCUUAGAUUCCCUUCUGAUUCCUAAAAUUUAAUAGGGAUCUUUGAAAAAUAACCUCCCCAGUCCAGAAAAAUUGUCAAAAACUCCUCUAGUUUGGACAAAAUGUAGAGUUUGAGAUGUCUUAGUCAGUAUUUAGUCAGAUAUGAGAGCAAUCAUGAUGUUUCUGGCCUAGAGAGUGGGAAGACUUUCCGACCACUCUGCAUAUGUUCAUAGGGAGACUGUAUUUUGUGGUUGUUUUAUAAAACAAACCACAUAUAUACUUGGAUCGCUUCAAAGCCAAAUAGAAAUGACUAUGUAUUAUCAACUCCUUAGAGAAUUUAAAAUAGCAAUUAUUAAAAAGCACAAAUAAAAUAAACUGCUGGAUUGGAGUGCUAUUCCUUUCACAUGCUUUCAGUGUUUCCUAGGAGCAAAUUCACAUCAUUUCUAGGUUUUGUUAAACACAUUUUAAUUUUAUUAAACCUAAACCAGAUCUUGUUUAUUAGGUUGUUCUUGGCAGGUGUUAUAUAAAAUGAAGUAAAUUGUAUUUAAGAACCACAGAGUAAAAAAUAAAAUCAUGACCUUAAAAUGGAAAAUUUUGGGUUUAUACUAUUCUUUUAAAUCCAUCAACCUGAAAAGUUUCACCAAAAUAGGAGAAUUAGUCACCAUGGAAGAUAGAUCCCUGUAAGGAGAUCAAAUAAAGGUAAACCUAUUCUGUUAAUCUUCUCUCCUUUUACUUCACACCUUCACACCCUGAAUCUUCACUAAUGUAAUCCUCUUAGUAUUUUUUACUAGUUUUUCUUUUUUUCACUUAGUAUUUUUUACCAGUGUAAUCUUCUUCUUUGUAUUGAGUCACAUAAUGGUUACAUCUGUUUUUCC
rnacentral:lncRNA from 1 species